CUCAAUCUUACCAAACCCCACUCAAAAAGACGUGUAGGAAAACUCUUCUGUGGUUGCUUUCGUCUCCUCGAAUUUCUAUAUGGCCUGAUUGACAAACGAACAAUAAGAAGCAGCCAUUUGGUGGAUCAGUCUUUUUCAAUGGAGACUUCAAUACCUAACAGAUUACGUCACUAAUGAAAACUGAAGCAAUUGAGAGAACUUUGAUGAACCAAAGUGAUUAUCCAAUUUUGAUGAGAUCAGUAAAACAUUACAGAUCUACAUCUACUACUGGCACUGGCUUACAUCAUCACUUAAUCUAGACACAUUCCUGUUAGCUUCUAAG